GGCAGUGGUGGCUUAAUGGUAAAGGCUCUGGGUUACUGAUCAGAAGAUCAGGGGUUGAAGCCCCAGCACUGCCA